CUCCCUUUUUUCUAAGAAGACACUCCCACUUAAAAUGCUCUGCUACACCACACUUGAAUCACUUCUUAGCCUCCAUGCUGUCCUUCUGGGACUGUCUCUGCCCCACCUACUCAUCCUUCUUUGUCCCUCUCCUGGGCCUCUCAGAAACUGUAAGACCCUUCUGGAAGAUCUUUCCCUUCGUCAUUCAUUUCCACUGCUUGUUGCACCUGAGCACUGAAAUGAUCUUCUCGUACAUCAGUGUCUCCUUACCAUAUAGCAGCA
rnacentral:lncRNA from 1 species